CUUUGUUUAUUCACGGCCCCGGAGCGCUGCCUUACCUGGCAACCGGGGCGGGCGCAGCCGGUUCGUCCUUCAGCCUCUCCCGGCGGCGGCACCACGCGCGCCCGGGGCCCCUCCCGGAGCGAGGCUGCGGUGCGCGGCGGGGUGCGCGGCGGGCCGCCCCCGCGCACGGCCAAGGCAGGCUGCCCCGGCCCCCUGCGCUCGGCGGGCUGGCGACGCGCCGGGCGUUAAGUUUCAGCGGCGGCGGGCGGGCAGGGCGAGGCGAGGCGAGCGGGGAGGCGGAGGCGGCAACGGGGGCUGCGCGGCGCCGGGAGCGCCGCCACACUGCAGCGUCUCCAGGAAUCCCUCCCGCGAGAGGCAGCCCAUCACCCCCGGCCCGCCGCCCUCAUUGGCUGAGGGGCGGGGAGAUGGGCUUCGGCAGCCAAUCGGCCGGCGCCCAGCAUGGGUGGAGCCGCCGCGCCGGCCUCGCCCAUCCCGCGGCCGCGCGGUCCCUGUCCGCCCCGUCGGGCGGGGCCGGGGAGCGGCGGGCGGGGGAUGAGGGUGAGGAUGAGGAGGGUAUCCCCGCGCAUGGCGGCCGGGGGACGACGCCGGGCGGCACAGGGCUCCGUACUAGAGACCCAGCGGCCGUCGGGUGAGCGGCGUGCCCCGGCCCCGGGCCGUCAGGGGCGGUGGGAAGCGGAGGCGGCGGCGGCGGCGGCGGCGGCGGCGACCCCCGCCAGGCGCUGCCGCUGCCGCUGCCCCGCAGUACGCGGUACUUUUAACGAAGCUGCGGAGCGCGGCCCUCCCGCGGCGGCGGCGGCGGCGGCGGGCCCUUGAGCAGCCCGCCCCGGGCUGUCGCGACUGAGCGGUGAGUCGUAAUGGGCGGCUGUGGCUUUAGGCGAGAGCAGAGCGUGUCGCGUGUUCAGCUGUUUUCAGGGAAGAAGGUGUCCUAUUAUGAGAAAAAAAGAAGCAGCACGCAAAGCCAGAAGAAAUUAUGCUCUAAACCUGAGAACUAUUCUGUUUUGGUUUUUAAUGUGCAUUAGAGCAUCAAAAGAGAAAAUUAAAUAGUAUCUACCAUUCAGAAGUUCCAUCAGGAAUCCUGCUCAGUACAGGUGAAGAACUAGACUCUGUUAUAUCCUUCAUAUCCUUUAUUUUCAAUUUAGACUUUGACUGAGCCAGAUGUACAGGAGCAUCUGGGAAGAAUAUGAAUAAAAAAGCAAGACCAGAAAUGAUGCAGUUUGUCUUUACCAUUUUUAUUUUUACUCUCUGUGUACUAUGUCUUCAAGAUAAUACCUCAAGAUUAGAAAGCAAUACAAGCCAUAAAAACUAGGUUUUGAAAGUAAAAGACUACUGCUUGCUCCAAAAAGAAGGGGAAAGACUGGGCCAAAGCCAAUGAAACCAAAAGAUUCUCAGGCCUGUCCUGGCACGUUUUAUGGCAUACAAAGAGCAGGUACUAGAAUGACAGACACUGAACUGAGGCAAAUUCUGGAGCAACAUCAGUCAUGGCACAUCAAAAACAGAAGCCAGGGCUCUGGCUUUGGGCCCGAGAUGCCAUCAAUUUUCUUUUGUACAUCAGCCUUUGUGUGACCAAGUAUCACAGUCGCCACAAUUAGAUGUACAAGAUGGGAAGUCAGGUAAAUCACGAGGGCAAAUCAGCAGCAGGUGAAUGAAUAAAUAGUACUGGUGGCAUGUUAAUUUACUUACCAGGCAGUGUAUAGAACGUUAAACUACCAGGGAUUGAACUGUGACCAUCAGAAUGAAAUUAUUCACUGGCCUUGUGUUGCAUGAGAUCACUGGUACCUAUUUUUAACAGAAAGAUGCUUUUACUUUGUUCUUCAUUGUCAUAUUAUUUUACUCAUAUUUUUCCUUUGUUUUGAUCUUUGCUAUCCUCAUGGUUUUAAUUUUGAGAGUAGUUUGUAUGCCUGAAGACAAAGGAAUUGGCUUUUGCUUGAGAGAAAUGGGACACAGCUUUUCAAAUGAAGUUCCAAUUGCAUGAGUUUAAGCACAGAUUUUGGAUACCUCUUUUAGCAAAUGAAACACCCACUCUCAACUGUUUGUUUUUGUUGACUGAGAAUCCAAGGACUGGUGUGUACAGCUGAAAAUUAAAAACUUGGAAUCCCAUUUUAAUGCCGUGUUGUCCCACCCCUGGUUCCAUUGAAGUCUCCAUAAUAUAUACUGGGUGAUGAUGACCUAUUUAGUGGGCACAUUCCUAGUCAGGAAGCCAAAUCUGUAUCAGGAGAACAUGAAAGACAUAAAAAAAAAAGUGAGAAAGCCAAGUCCCAAAAGUGAGAAUUAACCUUCAGUAAAAUGGACAAAUACUGGAGUUACUAUUCAGCUGUACAAAACUAACAAAAGCAUCACAUGAACUGGCACUUCUGUGAAGCUCUGGGCCGUCACUCACCCUGGCACUGCAAAGAUGUUCUGUCAGGUCCCAGAUAUAGAGCCAGGAAAUAUGAAGAGGGAACUGGGGAGAUGCGGGCUCCCCACUCCCCUUUGACGCUUACCUUAAUCACAGCCCUACCCUCCAUUCACACGUCCAAGGCUGGAAAGUGGAGGGACUUGUCCCCAGGUAACACAGAGAGCAGAACUUGCCUGAAGCAGUUUUUCUUUCCUUAAGGGGAAAGGCUGAUAAAUGGAAAUUUAGAAGUUUGUCAUCUAUUUGAAAUAUUGAACUCUUGUAUUUACUUAAUUCUCUCCCAGGAUUUACAAGUGUGAGCUAUUUUCAUCCAAACUAAAAAAAAAGUACAGUCAAACUGGCAUGUGUGGUAACCAACUUCUUCCUAUCUCAUAUAGGGCUAUUAUGAAGGCCUAUUUUAACUUUCCAUUUUCUCCCAAAAGACAUGUUAAACUCUGUUUUUAAGAGCUUUAUGGUAUAAUCAAACCAGCUCAGCACAGCAGGCAUUCGCAUCUUUUUCCCAUAUUAUUAUAAAGUCUGCUUUCAAGUGUGUUUGUACCCCACUGCAUUUUGGGAAUUUUGGAGAUUAUAAAUAAAAGCAUCUUCUUUGCUUGAAAGAACCUCCUGGCAGGUUCUUUCAACAAAAGCUUCUCUGCACAACAUUAGAGAAUGCAGUGUAAAGUUCACUGUUAUAGGAAAAAUGUGCCUCCCACUUAUCAAAGAAUUAUUUUAGUCACAUUAGUUUACGAUAUACCUUUAAAAGGUUGGCUGUUUAAAAUGCACAACAAAACCCUUUGUCUUCUCGAUGUAUAUGUUUGGUUUGCCACUUCCAGGCUAUAACACCAUCAUUUUGUUGCUUGUUUACUUAGUGCAUGUAUUUUCUAAAAGCACACAGAUCAACCUGCAAACACCAUUUGUUCAUAUAUGGGCAUGACCUUAUCACAACGUGCCAGAUGGAUAUAGGCAGGUAGCAAGAGAGCUAUGUGGAAAGUAGAGAUUUUCAUUUGCACUUUCUGACAAAUCUUUCUGGGAAAUGGGAAGGAAUUUGCUUAGUCUUUCUUCAGUGAAGGCUGGAUUCAUACUCUCAAACAAGUCCAAUGGGAAAUUCAUAUUAGGUCUGCCAGCUUUGUCCUUUGUGUGGAAUGACAGAUUUGUAUGCAAAUAAGACCAUUAGGAUUUCAGAUAAAAUGCUGGUGAUUCAAGUAAUUUAGCCGUGUCCUGGGUU